UUUUAACAAAUGUCCAUCACGCUUAAGAUAAUGUUGUGGACACUGUUAUUGCCAUAGCUAUUUCCCUUCCUGUCCCUUUUACCAGAUCUGUACGUUCAUCCCUCUGCUUCUGCAUGAAGUGAUACUGAUUAGACCUGACAUAUUCAAAAAGGUAUCUUGGACACUGGAGCCGCAUAUCAGCUGGUAGGAAGAUCCCAAGCACAGACAUCGAUUAGCGAGUGUUCUCUGAAGAGCUCCACAUGCUGAUGCUUGAUGCCAAUAUCUGGAAAUGGAGUAGGUGAGGAAGCAGCCAUCAUCACUCCCCGUGGAGGACGCAGGAGUAAGGCACUGUCCUGGAAGAAGAGAGCAGCCCUCACCAGACGCCAAACCUGCCAGCGCCUUGGUCUUGGACUUCCAGCAUCCAGAACUG
rnacentral:lncRNA from 1 species